rnacentral:rRNA from 1 species
AGUGAACGCUGGCGGCGUGCCUAAUACAUGCAAGUCGAACGCUUCCUACCGGUGCUUGCACCGGGAAAGAAGAGUGGCGGACGGGUGAGUAACACGUGGGUAACCUACCUACAAGCGGGGGAUAACAUUCGGAAACGGAUGCUAAUACCGCAUAGAUCUUUUUGUCUCCUGGCAGAAAGAAGAAAGACGGUUUCGGCUGUCACUUGUAGAUGGACCCGCGGCGCAUUAGUUAGUUGGUGAGGUAAUGGCUCACCAAGACGAUGAUGCGUAGCCGACCUGAGAGGGUGAUCGGCCACACUGGGACUGAGACACGGCCCAGACUCCUACGGGAGGCAGCAGUAGGGAAUCUUCCGCAAUGGACGAAAGUCUGACGGAGCAACGCCGCGUGAGUGAAGAAGGUUUUCGGAUCGUAAAACUCUGUUGUUAGAGAAGAACAAGGAUGAGAGUAACUGCUCGUCCCUUGACGGUAUCUAACCAGAAAGCCAUGGCUAACUACGUGCCAGCCGCCGCAGUAA